GAAAUGAGAUGUAACUGAAUGUUGUUUGUGAUGAUUCUGGAGAUUGUCACUUUGGAGAAGAUGUGCAAACAUUAGAACUUGCUGAGGAAUCGAUGCAGUCAUCAAUUUUAUUCUCUUGGAUCCAUCUUGGUUUGCAAAUGAGAAGAAAGAUGCAGCUGUAGCAGAGUUGCUGACUCCCAUCCCAGAAAAAGAAUUUCCAGGACACAUCAGUAAGAGUGUAAAGGUGAUGUGGGAAGCAUGAAACAUUUUCAUAAGUGAAGUUGGCAACGAUAAAGAGAGAUGCACCACAGAGAACCCUGUGAAAGGAGAGUGACAUGGUCAGAGAGAGGAGAUCCUGAGGGCCACCAAUCCAAGCUACCCUCCUUCCCUUCUAACUACUGAACUCUGAACUUGAAGGCUCACCAAGGGCUGCAGUGGCAGGCAGAAGUGACUCUUCAGCAGAGACUGGGGUAGCCCAGUAGACUGGUGGGCUGUCUGAAGACUUGGGAAGACACUGGAGAGGGGAAGUUGUCAGAAGCUGAGGUGCAGCCCUCACCAAAAUGAGAAGUCCUGUCACAGGCUCUGGCUGCUGCAGUUUCAUCAAAUUACACCCAGGAUGGAGCCAGAUCCACAAGUGACCUGGUCUCAGAGAGCAAAAGACAGAGAAGGCCCUUCUCCCAGGGACUCCACUAAUUCUCCAAUAGGAUGUGCAAAAUCUCCCCACAUUCUGUCUAAAGUCAUUUUCCAGAUCACAAAAGAGCAAGAGGAAGCCAGCUGAGAGAUUGUCCAAACUUAUGGAAAUGAAGUUUUGAAAUUAAAAAUCGUAGCUAUUGAAAUUAUUAGCGCAGGGGCUAGAGGUGUAGCUCAGAAAUAGAGUAGAAGUAGCACGCAAGAGGCCUUGGAUCUGAUCCCCUGCACAGCUCAAUAAAUAAAAAAGCAAAUAGCUUAAUUGGGUGUGGUAAAGUUUGUUACUUUUUUUUUUCUCUCAGCUAACCAGUUGAAAAGUGCUUGAAAUAAUGUUUAGAUUCAUUAAAUCAAAAAUAACAGGACUGGGGAUUUAGCUCAGUGGUGCUGCUGCCUGCCUGCCUUGGCAAGUGUAAGGUCCUGAGUUAAAAAAAACCAACUAGGGUAGGGGUUG
ensembl:lncRNA